rnacentral:rRNA from 1 species
GACGUAGGGUCCAAGCGUUGUCCGGAUUUACUGGGCGUAAAGAGCGCGUAGGCGGUCCGUUAAGUGUAGAGUGAAAGCUCCGGGCUCAACUCGGAAAUUGCUCUGCAUACUGGCGGACUCGAGGACGGAAGAGGUUUGUGGAAUUCCUGGUGUAGCGGUGAAAUGCGUAGAUAUCAGGAGGAACACCUGCGGUGUAGACGGCUUUCUGGACCAUUGUUGACGCUGAGACACGAAAGCGUGGGUAGCAAACAGG